AAAAUGAGAGCUUCGGCAGGAUUUUUAUUUAUCUUAGUGGCGGACGGGUGAGUAACGUGUGGGCAACCUGCCCUAUACUGGGGAAUAAUCACUGGAAACGGUGACUAAUACCGCAUGUCAUCACGAGAAGGCAUCUUUUUGUGAGAAAAGGAGUAAUUCGGUAUAGGAUGGGCCCGCAUCUGAUUAGCUAGUUGGUGAGAUAACAGCCCACCAAGGCGACGAUCAGUAGCCGACCUGAGAGGGUGAUCGGCCACAUUGGGACUGAGACACGGCCCAAACUCCUACGGGAGGCAGCAGUGGGGAAUAUUGCACAAUGGGGGAAACCCUGAUGCAGCAACGCCGCGUGAAGGAAGAAGGUUUUCGGAUCGUAAACUUCUAUCAACAGGGACGAAGAAAGUGACGGUACCUGAAUAAGAAGCCCCGGCUAACCACGUGCCAGCAGCCGCGGUAAUACGUAGGGGGCAAGCGUUAUCCGGAAUUACUGGGUGUAAAGGGAGCGUAGGCGGCACGCCAAGCCAGAUGUGAAAGCCCGAGGCUUAACCUCGCGGAUUGCAUUUGGAACUGGCGAGCUAGAGUACAGGAGAGGAAAGCGGAAUUCCUAGUGUAGCGGUGAAAUGCGUAGAUAUUAGGAAGAACACCAGUGGCGAAGGCGGCUUUCUGGACUGAAACUGACGCUGAGGCUCGAAAGCGUGGGGAGCAAACAGGAUUAGAUACCCUGGUAGUCCACGCCGUAAACGAUGAGUGCUAGGUGUCGGGGAGGAAUCCUCGGUGCCGCAGCUAACGCAAUAAGCACUC
rnacentral:rRNA from 1 species